ACCUAUAUGAAGAGUGAAGAAGUUCAUGGUAUGUCUUCAAACUAUUCUUUGUAGUUCUUUAGAUCAGCCUGACUGUAUAAGAGUUGUAUAACCGAUGUAACUGCUGGGGCUUGCUUAGAAACUGAUUCCUCAUCCUUAGCAACUUUGCAGUAUGUGCUUGAAAGGCUAAUUACAUAAAACCACGAACUGUUUUAAAACAGGGAUAGUGGGAUGUUUGUGCAUUGCUAAGAGUGCAGUUGGUGACACAAGUUGUUGGCCAGUACAGUACAAGCCACGUAUGCUGAUGGUUCUGAAGAAGAGACAAGACAUCAAAGGCCAUGGGAACUGCCUCCGCUUGCGCCGGCAUCCUCGUCCGCUCCUUGCGUGGUAUUUGGAGCCUGCACGCAGAAGCUCGGCCUGACAUGCCACCUGCCACAGCUUGAGGCUUGGGGCAGCCCACAAGGGACCUGCGGAGGUUUCGGUGUAGAUAUCCAGAAUAUGGAAGACCUGAUUCCUGCCUACGCCUGUCCAAGAUUAUACAAUAGAAAUAAUUAAUCUGAUGAAACUCUGAAGUUAGAAGAAAACCAGUUUAGUGCUGAGAAAGCAUAUGAAAUGAAACCACAGAUCUUCGGAUUUUUCUCUUCGAGGAAAAAAAAAAUCUUCCAUCAUGACUAAUGUUACUUAUCAUCUUCCAGAGCUAGAGGUCUAUCUUUAAAUCCUUAUGCACGCAGACUCGCCCACAUGAAGCUUAGAUAAACCAACAAUGCUAGAGAAUCUUUUUUUUUUUUUUUUUUCUUUUUUCUCUCUUUUUUUUUUUUUUUUUUUUUUUUUCUUCAAAAAGAUCCUAUUCUGUAUCAUCUCUUCAUCACCCUGCUGACUCAUUAAAACAGAAAAGGUCACGCUAUGAAUUUGGUUUGAAUGUAACAACAGCUUUUGGGGACUUCCAAUUCUUUUCCAGUAAGAUUCAGAUUUUGCAGCUUGAGUGUGAAGGAGAGCUCUACCACUGACUUUCAAAGGUACAUUUGCAGAUCAGCUUAUUAUAAUUUGCACUGCAUUAUUAAUGCUGAGAUGACUGAUUAAUUCAAAACGUGUGUGCUGGUUCUAUCAGAGCAUACUGUGCUCUACAGAGCAAAUGAAAUCGGAGCAGAUUGAGAGGGGCAGAACUUGAACAACUUCUUUGCUGACCCCUGCAGGCACAAGCUGAUUCUGUCAAUUUUUACUUUUGACUACAUCUGUUUUGUACACUUUUUGCACAACACAGAGCUCAGGAGGAAAUUAAAUAUGGCCUAAAUCUACAUUUUAAUACAAUUCUAAUGCACUGCACUAUUCCUAGUAAUAAUCUCCCCCCCACAGAAAGAACUGAUGCAUGUUAUCAAGCAUGAAUAUAUUUAAUGAUUUGAAAUGAAAUGAGUUCAUUAAAAUAUUCGUUCACCUCAAAAUAGUAUUAAGCCAGAGGAACAGAGAGGAAAUCAUUUUGCCAGGUUUUUCAAACAGAAUAAUAGAAAUUUAGGCAUCUGAUGUAAAUUCUGAUAUUCACAUUUCACUUUUCAAAAUUUAAAGAAAUGUUUAUUUUUCUUUACAUUUUGAUGAAUCCACCCUUUUAGGGUGUAUCUGUAUCAUUUGUACUUACCAUAAUGAAGAUUUAUGUUUCCCAAACUUUAUGCUGGCUGGGCUUCUUCCCUGGCAUCCUCUUCCUGCACUGUUUGCCACUUCUUCCAGCCCUUCUGGGCUGCCUCUCUCCCUCCAACUCUAGAGCCACCCCACUUAUUUGCUUCUUUAAAUUCAUGCCCCUAUUUCUGCAGGGAGCAGAGACAAUAGUGCUUAAUUUUUCUUAGGUAUAGUAAUAGGCAGACAUUUGCUUUUGUCUCCAUAUUGAUAUAUCCAGAUAUAUUUUCCAGAUAUAUCUUCCAAGACUCCUACUGUUCCUUUCUCUACCUUCACAUUGCAUUUCCUUCCUACUCCUCCUGGCAAAUGUGUUUAACUCUGGUUCAGCUCAUCACACCUGCGUCUCACCUUACCUUGGGACAGCGCACCCGGCCAAGCCCACUGCUGGACUGCUGAGCCCACUCUGUCCCAGUGCACUCUGCACAGUUACCACUACUUAACACCCCCUCCCUAGCAAGCAGCUACAUCCACUGGGGAGAGCUAAGUAAUCAUCAUCCUUCGAUGAUAUUACUGUGAGGCCAUCAUCCUCUGCUGCAUCUAUUUUAUGCAAAUUGCAAGUAGAUGGAUCAAAGUAAACAACUGAACAUUUGACAACUUUUUUUGAGUUGUAAAAGAUCAAGAGAGCUUUUUAAUGGAAACUCCUACCCAUAAUUUAGAGUGGCAGCUAAAAACCAACCAACAAAACCAACAAAAAGUACCUGACGUAUUCAGCGUGUUUUGGAAACCAGAUAUACAGUUUUACCAGAGGGAAGAACCAGUGUGAAUUUCUAAUGAUAUACAUUUCCUCUGGGAAAAUACAUAAAGCAAUGUUAUUUUUACAACAGGAGGUAUGAAAUCUUAGAGAAUGAAAAAAACUUUUUUUUUUUGUUACUGUAAGAAUCUAUAUGUUGAAACUGUUUACAUCAUGAAACUUGGUACCUUUCUGAAGCAGAUGAGUAAUAACAGACAAGUGACUGUGAUUCCUUUCUCCUUAAGUGAUCACAGAACAUUUCUUCAAUGUACACAGACCUCUGAGAAGUUGGAUUUGAAGAGCAUUAGUGCCAUACAAACAAGAACACAUUAUUAAGACAAGUGUGCAUGACAUAAAUGGGCAAUGGCCUCAUUAGCUUCUUGAAACUUGGACUGUUAUUUCUCAGACACUUACUCUUUCAAUAUAAAUCACAAUUCAUGAUAAAUCACAACACAAGAUAACAAGAGUUUAGUAUAAUUAUUGGUACUAUCUGUACGUCAGCAAAGUCUGGGUUGCUACUCCAUAUGAACUAAAUUCAUUGGGGAAAAAAGUCCAUGUAACUAUCUAAACACAGUAAGUCACUGAAGAACAAAUGUUAUCUUGAAGUACAACUGAAAUAGAUGGAUAAAAAUACUAGCCAUUGGACAAAAAUAUUGUAGCUUUAAGUAAUUUUAGAAUCAGUUUUUCCUGUAGCAACAAAAGAAGAUUAAAAUAUUUUUUAAAAAUUAAGCUGUGAUUACAUCUUAGAAAAAUGAAGUUUUCGUGAUUCCGCAGGUAUACCUCCAUGUGGGUAUACCCAUAUAUAUAUAUAUCUGUGAGGAGGACCAGUCAGAUCUCAGCUUUCAGUUGGCAUUUUUUACCUGAUUAUUCUACUUCCUUCCUUUGACAUUGCAUUGGACUAGACACCAAAUUCAAGGCAAAUAUAAAAUUACAGCAAAAGAAAACUUCAGUUACUAUAUUUGGAUCCAUCCUCACAUGAAUAAAAAUGAAAAUUCACUGCUCACAAAUCAAUCAGUGCCUGAGUCUCUUUGACUGAAGGCAAGAUUUCUUGAUGUAAGCAAACAAAGGUGAAUAAAUUUAUGGGCUACCUGUAAAUCCAAAAGGUAUUCAUACUGAAUUAAAGCUAUGAAAAGGAAAAUUACUUCUGAAACUCAGGAAAUAUUUUAAUGUGUUCUGUUAAACAAGGACAAGCACACCCAUGAAAGCAGUGUUUAGUUACAGUUUUUUAACUGGGUGGGCAAACUAAUUCUAAGCAUCCUUUAGUGCUUAAUUUUGCCUUGGCUAUAAUACAGGAAUGGUAUUUUGCUUCCCAUUGUUUCUAUAAUUCUAAGAUGAACUUAAAAAUUACUCAACUUUCACCACUCCUGUCUCAAUUAGCACUUUUCUAUCAUGCAACUUACAGCUUAUUUUUUAACAUCAGAUACUAAAACUGAAUAUAUCACAUACUACAUUCUCAUUCCUUGGUGUUUCAUGUGAGUUUUUCUUUGUCAAAUCUGUCUUUUUGUCAAGUCCUUUUUACAGAAAAUACCUGCUCCGAGUUUUCCAAUGUGAAACAACUUGUAGGCAUGCAAUAGACAGCAGGAAGAUGCGCACACAGCUGAAAGUACCUUUUAGAACCAUUAGAUACCUAAUGGCAUCCUUAUGAGCUUAAAACCAGAAAAACAGAACUCAAAUGUCUUCUCCAAACUUUAUAGUGGCAUCUAAAAAAGUGUAAUUUCCUUCUUCAGAAAUGUGUUUAUUUUUCCAAGCAGUAUUGCACUUUCCAGAUCUAUUAGCUACUGGACAUGGAAAAAUAAAUAAAUAUAUAAAUUUAAAAUAAGGUGAACACUGUAAAUUUUCACUAAGUAAUUACUUUUGUACAUCCUCCUUCCCUGUCGUUACUGCCACGGGUCUUAGUCCUGGUCUAUGGCAACAAACUGAAAACAUCCACUUAAAGGACCAUGGCUUGAUCUACAAGGACAAAUCAACAGAUAAAUGCUUUCAGAAAUUCAGUUUAUUGUGUUCUCUGGGAAUAUUUCUAUUGUCAUUUCUAUUGUCUUAUCUUUUUAUAUGUGCAUUUCUCUAAUUGUUCAAUUUUAACAUCCUCUCUAAGUGUAUCAGUCAUUAUUGUAUAGCUCUUCACCUUAUGAAAAAAGAACAAGUUCCCAGUCAAGUAGACUCUUACAAAAACAGACAAAAGAAGAAAAAAAAAAAAAAAAAAAGGAAAAUUACAAGAUAGUAAGACAAUGC